rnacentral:lncRNA from 1 species
CUAAACUUUAGCCCAUAUUAUAUCGGAUGUUUGAAUAUUAUUAUAAAUAGUAAACGUAGUCUAUAAAUAAAAUUCAUUUAUAUUCUUGGACUAAUUCGCGAGACGAAUCUAAUGAGCCUAAUUAAUCCAUGACUAGUGUAUGUGAUGCUACAGUGAAAAUUUGCUAAUUAUGUAUUAAUUAGACUCAAAAAAUUCGUCUCACGGAUUAGCUCUUAUUUAUGAAAUUAGUUUUUUUAUUAGUCUAUG